AAUAAAUAUAUAUUUUUGUGGUAGUAUAAUGGCAUAAAUUUGCACUACAAAUACUAAUACAUGAACAGUGUACUAGAGUCGUGAUCAAUUAACAGCAUAAAGACUAACAAAUGAAGCUUCAUACAUCACUAAAGGAAUUUGGCGAGCCAGAUACAUUAUAGGGGCAUUUUGAAAUCUACAAAACUAUGAAACUACAGAUAGGUACAAGAUUACAUUUGGUGUGUAAAGUCAUGACCUAUAGUUGGUUCUGGGAAAGUUGAACAACAUAUAUUGUGGUGGCCGUAUUGGAUUGGUG